GAUGAACGCUGGCGGCGUGCUUAACACAUGCAAGUCGAACGGAAAGGCCACAGCUUGCUGUGGUACUCGAGUGGCGAACGGGUGAGUAACACGUGGGUGAUCUGCCCUGUACUUCGGGAUAAGCUUGGGAAACUGGGUCUAAUACCGGAUAGGAAUCACAUGUGGGUGUGUGGUUGGAAAGCUUUUGCGGUAUGGGAUGAGCUCGCGGCCUAUCAGCUUGUUGGUGGGGUAAUGGCCUACCAAGGCGUCGACGGGUAGCCGGCCUGAGAGGGUGUACGGCCACAUUGGGACUGAGAUACGGCCCAGACUCCUACGGGAGGCAGCAGUAGGGAAUAUUGCACAAUGGGCGCAAGCCUGAUGCAGCGACGCCGCGUGGGGGAUGACGGCCUUCGGGUUGUAAACUCCUUUCGUCAGGGACGAAGCGAAAGUGACGGUACCUGGAGAGGAAGCACCGGCUAACUACGUG
rnacentral:rRNA from 1 species